UACGAAGGGGGCUAGCGUUGCUCGGAAUUACUGGGCGUAAAGCGCACGUAGGCGGUUUCUUAAGUCGGGGGUGAAAUCCUGGAGCUCAACUCCAGAACUGCCUUUGAUACUGAGGAUCUUGAGUUCGGGAGAGGUGAGUGGAACUGCGAGUGUAGAGGUGAAAUUCGUAGAUAUUCGCAAGAACACCAGUGGCGAAGGCGGCUCACUGGCCCGAUACUGACGCUGAGGCACGAAAGCGUGGGGAGCAAACAGG
rnacentral:rRNA from 1 species